rnacentral:rRNA from 1 species
UUAAGCGACUAAGCGUACACGGUGGAUGCCCUGGCAGUCAGAGGCGAUGAAGGACGUGCUAAUCUGCGAAAAGCGUCGGUAAGGUGAUAUGAACCGUUACAGCCGGCGAUGUCCGAAUGGGGAAACCCAGUGUGAUUCGUCACACUAUCGUUAACUGAAUACAUAGGUUAACGAGGCGAACCGGGGGAACUGAAACAUCUAAGUACCCCGAGGAAAAGAAAUCAACCGAGAUUCCCCCAGUAGCGGCGAGCGAACGGGGAGCAGCCCAGAGUCUGAAUCAGCUUGUGUGUUAGUGGAACGGUCUGGAAAGUCCGACGGUACAGGGUGAUAGUCCCGUACACCAAAAUGCACAGGCUGUGAACUCGAAGAGUAGGGCGGGACACGUGGUAUCCUGUCUGAAUAUGGGGGGACCAUCCUCCAAGGCUAAAUACUCCUGACUGACCGAUAGUGAACCAGUACCGUGAGGGAAAGGCGAAAAGAACCCCGGCGAGGGGAGUGAAAAAGAACCUGAAACCGUGUACGUACAAGCAGUGGGAGCACCUUCGGGUGUGACUGCGUACCUUUUGUAUAAUGGGUCAGCGACUUAUAUUCUGUAGCAAGGUUAACCGUAUAGGGGAGCCGCAGGGAAACCGAGUCUUAACUGGGCGUUAAGUUGCAGGGUAUAGACCCGAAACCCGGUGAUCUAGCCAUGGGCAGGUUGAAGGUUGGGUAACACUAACUGGAGGACCGAACCGACUAAUGUUGAAAAAUUAGCGGAUGACUUGUGGCUGGGGGUGAAAGGCCAAUCAAACCGGGAGAUAGCUGGUUCUCCCCGAAAGCUAUUUAGGUAGCGCCUCGUGAACUCAUCUUCGGGGGUAGAGCACUGUUUCGGCUAGGGGGUCAUCCCGACUUACCAACCCGAUGCAAACUACGAAUACCGAAGAAUGUUAUCACGGGAGACACACGGCGGGUGCUAACGUCCGUCGUGAAGAGGGAAACAACCCAGACCGCCAGCUAAGGUCCCAAAGUCACAGUUAAGUGGGAAACGAUGUGGGAAGGCACAGACAGCCAGGAUGUUGGCUUAGAAGCAGCCAUCAUUUAAAGAAAGCGUAAUAGCUCACUGGUCGAGUCGGCCUGCGCGGAAGAUGUAACGGGGCUAAACUGUGCACCGAAGCUGCGGCAGCGACACUAUGUGUUGUUGGGUAGGGGAGCGUUCUGUAAGCCUGCGAAGGUGGCCUGUGAGGGUUGCUGGAGGUAUCAGAAGUGCGAAUGCUGACAUAAGUAACGAUAAUGCGGGUGAAAAGCCCGCACGCCGGAAGACCAAGGGUUCCUGUCCAACGUUAAUCGGGGCAGGGUGAGUCGACCCCUAAGGCGAGGCCGAAAGGCGUAGUCGAUGGGAAACAGGUUAAUAUUCCUGUACUUGGUGUUACUGCGAAGGGGGGACGGAGAAGGCUAUGUUAGCCGGGCGACGGUUGUCCCGGUUUAAGCAUGUAGGCGGAGGUUCCAGGUAAAUCCGGUACCUUUUAACGCUGAGGUGUGAUGACGAGGCACUACGGUGCUGAAGUAACAAAUGCCCUGCUUCCAGGAAAAGCCUCUAAGCAUCAGGUAACAUUAAAUCGUACCCCAAACCGACACAGGUGGUCAGGUAGAGAAUACCAAGGCGCUUGAGAGAACUCGGGUGAAGGAACUAGGCAAAAUGGUGCCGUAACUUCGGGAGAAGGCACGCUGAUAUGUAGGUGAAGCCCCUGCGGGUGGAGCUGAAAUCAGUCGAAGAUACCAGCUGGCUGCAACUGUUUAUUAAAAACACAGCACUGUGCAAACACGAAAGUGGACGUAUACGGUGUGACGCCUGCCCGGUGCCGGAAGGUUAAUUGAUGGGGUUAUCCGUAAGGAGAAGCUCUUGAUCGAAGCCCCGGUAAACGGCGGCCGUAACUAUAACGGUCCUAAGGUAGCGAAAUUCCUUGUCGGGUAAGUUCCGACCUGCACGAAUGGCGUAAUGAUGGCCAGGCUGUCUCCACCCGAGACUCAGUGAAAUUGAACUCGCUGUGAAGAUGCAGUGUACCCGCGGCAAGACGGAAAGACCCCGUGAACCUUUACUAUAGCUUGACACUGAACAUUGAGCCUUGAUGUGUAGGAUAGGUGGGAGGCUUUGAAGCGUGGACGCCAGUCUGCGUGGAGCCAACCUUGAAAUACCACCCUUUAAUGUUUGAUGUUCUAACGUUGGCCCCUUAUCGGGGUUGCGGACAGUGUCUGGUGGGUAGUUUGACUGGGGCGGUCUCCUCCCAAAGAGUAACGGAGGAGCACGAAGGUUAGCUAAUCCUGGUCGGACAUCAGGAGGUUAGUGCAAUGGCAUAAGCUAGCUUGACUGCGAGCGUGACGGCGCGAGCAGGUGCGAAAGCAGGUCAUAGUGAUCCGGUGGUUCUGAAUGGAAGGGCCAUCGCUCAACGGAUAAAAGGUACUCCGGGGAUAACAGGCUGAUACCGCCCAAGAGUUCAUAUCGACGGCGGUGUUUGGCACCUCGAUGUCGGCUCAUCACAUCCUGGGGCUGAAGUAGGUCCCAAGGGUAUGGCUGUUCGCCAUUUAAAGUGGUACGCGAGCUGGGUUUAGAACGUCGUGAGACAGUUCGGUCCCUAUCUGCCGUGGGCGCUGGAGAAUUGAGGGGGGCUGCUCCUAGUACGAGAGGACCGGAGUGGACGCAUCACUGGUGUUCGGGUUGUCAUGCCAAUGGCAUUGCCCGGUAGCUAAAUGCGGAAGAGAUAAGUGCUGAAAGCAUCUAAGCACGAAACUUGCCCCGAGAUGAGUUCUCCCUGAGACUUUAAGUCUCCUGAAGGAACGUUAAAGACGAUGACGUUGAUAGGUCGGGUGUGUAAGCGUAGCGAUACGUUGAGCUAACCGAUACUAAUGAACCGUGAGGCUUAACCUU